UCUCAUCUCAAUGUGGAUUGGCUGUUCUCCACCUGUCUUCAAACUCUCAAACUCAGGAAGUGAUAACAAGGAGAGCCAGCUGCGGGCUGGGCUGGCAGUGAGGAGGAAGUCAUGGGGUCUGAGAAAGGGAAAUUUGAAGCCGGAAAAUAGAAACUUCAGGUGGGGCUUCUCUUCAAAUGCAGUUUCUGCCUUCUUUCUUUUUGCAAACUUACCCUGUGUCUGCCCGUGGACAUGGGCAGUGACAGCGGAUGCCUGACGGCGUGGAGGCCCAGACCCUUGUCCCGAGGGGCUCAGGACCUUGCCCUGGGCUAACUGGCAGAACGGAAGAGAAUGGUAUUUCUUGCACACCCAGCUGGACUGACCUACAACUUUUAGUGGCUAUACGGCAACCUAUUUUCCAUCAGGGGGAGUUCCUGAGCCGGCCCCGCCUCUGGUGCUCGUAGUUGUAAUGAUGCUGUGACGAACCUCUUUGUGCUCAGAGCUUUUCCUGUGCUAAGGAUUACUUCCUGAGAGGAAGUUCUCAGGAAUGGAGUUACUUGACCGGGGGAGAUCAACAUGUCCCAACGUCCUCUCACAGCACAGGAGUCAAUGCAAAAUUAAAGGGAAAGAGAGACUCUGUCCUUUUACUCUGCUCUGGGCUCAGUUUCUCCAGCUGUAAACUGAGCAGGUCAGAUUAGACCCUGAAGCUUCCCUCACAGAUUGGAAGUUCUGUUGAUGGCCGGGGAAUGAG
rnacentral:lncRNA from 1 species